rnacentral:rRNA from 2 species
UGGGGAAUAUUGCACAAUGGGCGCAAGCCUGAUGCAGCCAUGCCGCGUGUAUGAAGAAGGCCUUCGGGUUGUAAAGUACUUUCAGCGGGGAGGAAGGGAGUAAAGUUAAUACCUUUGCUCAUUGACGUUACCCGCAGAAGAAGCACCGGCUAACUCCGUGCCAGCAGCCGCGGUAAUACGGAGGGUGCAAGCGUUAAUCGGAAUUACUGGGCGUAAAGCGCACGCAGGCGGUUUGUUAAGUCAGAUGUGAAAUCCCCGGGCUCAACCUGGGAACUGCACCUGAUACUGGCAAGCUUGAGUCUCGUAGAGGGGGGUAGAAUUCCAGGUGUAGCGGUGAAAUGCGUAGAGAUCUGGAGGAAUACCGGUGGCGAAGGCGGCCCCCUGGACGAAGACUGACGCUCAGGUGCGAAAGCGUGGGGAGCAAACAGG